AAUGGCAGGUCAGCAUACUGCCGUGAAUACGUUCCCGGGCCUUGUACACACCGCCCGUCACACCAUGAGAGUUGGGGAUACCCGAAGCCUGUGAGCUAACUUAUAGAGGCAGCAGUCGAAGGUAGAAUCAAUGAUUGGGGUGAAGUCGUAACAAGGUAGC
rnacentral:rRNA from 1 species